rnacentral:rRNA from 1 species
AUUGAACGCUGGCGGCAGGCCUAACACAUGCAAGUCGAGCGGUAGAGAGGUGCUUGCAUCUCUUGAGAGCGGCGGACGGGUGAGUAAUGCCUAGGAAUCUGCCUAGUGGUGGGGGAUAACGUUCGGAAACGGACGCUAAUACCGCAUACGUCCUACGGGAGAAAGCGGGGGAUCUUCGGACCUCGCGCCAUUAGAUGAGCCUAGGUCGGAUUAGCUAGUUGGUGAGGUAAUGGCUCACCAAGGCGACGAUCCGUAACUGGUCUGAGAGGAUGAUCAGUCACACUGGAACUGAGACACGGUCCAGACUCCUACGGGAGGCAGCAGUGGGGAAUAUUGGACAAUGGGCGAAAGCCUGAUCCAGCCAUGCCGCGUGUGUGAAGAAGGUCUUCGGAUUGUAAAGCACUUUAAGUUGGGAGGAAGGGUAGGUAACCUAAUACGUUGCUACUUUGACGUUACCGACAGAAUAAG